rnacentral:rRNA from 1 species
GAAGCGGGAAGAGCUCAAAUUUAUAAUCUGGCACCUUCGGUGUCCGAGUUGUAAUCUCUAGAAAUGUUUUCCGCGUUGGACCGCACACAAGUCUGUUGGAAUACAGCGGCAUAGUGGUGAGACCCCCGUAUAUGGUGCGGACGCCCAGCGCUUUGUGAUACAUUUUCGAAGAGUCGAGUUGUUUGGGAAUGCAGCUCAAAUUGGGUGGUAAAUUCCAUCUAAAGCUAAAUAUUGGCGAGAGACCGAUAGCGAACAAGUACCGUGAGGGAAAGAUGAAAAGCACUUUGGAAAGAGAGUUAACAGUACGUGAAAUUGUUGGAAGGGAAACGCUUGAAGUCAGACUUGCUUGCCGAGCAAUCGGUUUGCAGGCCAGCAUCAGUUUUCCGGGAUGGAUAAUGGUAGAGAGAAGGUAGCAGUUUCGGCUGUGUUAUAGCUCUCUGCUGGAUACAUCUUGGGGGACUGAGGAACGCAGUGUGCCUUUGGCGGGGGUUUCGACCUCUUCACACUUAGGAUGCUGGUGGAAUGGCUUUAAACGACCCGUCUU